GACGUAGGGGGCAAGCGUUGUUCGGAAUUAUUGGGCGUAAAGCGCUCGUAGGCGGGAUUGGAAGUCCGUGUUGAAAGCCCUCGGCUCAACUGAGGGACCGGCUCGGAUACUCUAAUUCUUGAGGCAAUCAGAGGAUGAUGGAAUUCCCGGUGUAGCGGUGAAAUGCGUAGAUAUUGGGAAGAACACCGGUGGCGAAGGCGGCUCACUGGCUCAUUACUGACGCUCAGGCGCGAUAGCGUGGGGAUCAAACAGG
rnacentral:rRNA from 1 species